CGGAGGAAGGUGGGGAUGACGUCAAGUCAUCAUGCCCCUUAUGUCCAGGGCUUCACACAUGCUACAAUGGCCGGUACAAAGGGCUGCGAUGCCGUAAGGUGGAGCGAAUCCUUUCAAAGCCGGUCUCAGUUCGGAUCGGGGUCUGCAACUCGACCCCGUGAAGUCGGA
rnacentral:rRNA from 1 species